GGGGCGAUGUCCCGAGCGGCAAAGGGGGCGGAUCUUACAUCUGCUGGCUAUGCCUUCGUAGGUUCGAGUCCUACUCCCCCACC
rnacentral:tRNA from 1 species